GGAGGUAGUGACAAUAAAUCACAAUGCGGAACUUUUAGUUUUGCAAUUGGAUUGAGAACAAUGUACAAAUGUUAUCGACAAACAAUUGGAGGGCAAGUCUGGUGCCAGCAGCCGCGGUAAUUCCAGCUCCAAUAGCGUAUAUUAACGUUGUUGCAGUUAAAAAGCUCGUAGUUGAAAUGUGGGAUGAAGUAUAUAAUGAAUUUCUAAUUCAAUUGUAUAUUGAUUCCCCUCUCCAAUUUAUUAUUAUGGGUAUUAAUUUAUUUGUAAUAAGAAUUGGUCAUUUACUGUGAGAAAAUUAGAGUAUUCAAAGCAGGCAUUUGCUUGAAUAGAUUAGCAUGGAAUAAUACUAAAAGGCUUUUAUGGUCGAUUUAAUUGGUUUGUUCAUAAAAGCAAGAUUAAAAGGAACAGUUGGGGGUAUUCAUAUUCAAUAGUUAGAGGUGAAAUUCUCGGAUUUAUGGAAGAUGAACAAGUGCGAAAGCAA
rnacentral:rRNA from 1 species